UCAAAAUCCAGCUUUUAUUCUUUCAAUCAACACAUCCAUCCUCAUUUCCCUUCGCAUCCCCGCAAUCCUCAUUCGUUCCUAUCAACGCAUCCCUGCUUGAAAUGGCGCCGUUCUUACCUUGUUAUAUACAACUUCAUGUACUCGUCAUCAAAUAUCCUGCUGCCUGCGCCUGUUCUGCUUGCAACAAACAUCCCCUUUUCAAAAGGUCAAUCUCGCACAGACUAAGAGAGGAAGUCCUUAACUUUGGUUUUUCAUUCUUCACGGUUUCUUUUUAUGUUGAUUCGAAAGUACGCUAUGCCGAAGGAUUUAAUUUAAAUUUGGAUUCUAUUAUGAUUGUAGUUACAUCUUAAUUGUCAUCAGCAUUCCUUUCUAAUGAGUUGUCAAGUGUAGUACUUAUUUUUGACACUUUUAUUUUAGGAGUGUCUCCAGCUUAAUUGGCAUGCAUGUUCUCUGUUACCAGUUUAAAUAUGUUUUUUAUAUGUGAUGUAUUAUAUCCAAAUUUGUUUGGUGAGAAGUUAUUGAAUCAUGCUGUUCUUUGUUUUUAAGCAAAGGCGUGUUCUCUGUUUUUCUUGGCAAUUAUCAAACUGAUCAAGAUGCUUUCAAGUUUUUUUUUUUAUAUAACUAAAAGGAAUUGCUUAAUCUUAUAUUAUUUAAUUUCUACGCAUUCAUGCUUUUCAUUUGAAUGAGAAACUUCAAAACUGUUAUGAUAGUUCAUGUGUACAAAAUAAUAUGUAGCUGGAAACAUUAAUGUGUGAUGAUUAUUGCUAAUAAUUUCAUUUUUUCAUUAUUUUAAUUAAAAAAGAUUGCACUUGGAGCAUUUGCAUUGAAGGCCAAUGCUCUCGAACCUCAACCUUCGAGCACCAAUGUGAAUGCAAACUGGGACACAACAUUUGUUGACCUCGAUUUUCGUUCAAGAGCCCUUGAGCGCGUUCUAUCAAUGCGAUUAGACCUCGUCGAGCCUAAUUCGAACUCGAAUCGAUCCGAAUUGAGUCAAAUUAGAUUCGAUCAUGUUCAAUCAAGCUCGAAUAAUUUGUUUUGAAUGUGACGAGUUCAAUUUGACCCAAAUCUAUCUCAAUUUGAGUUUAAUUUUAUUUAAUUGAAUUGAUUGAGCCUAAUCCCAAUUCUAAACCAAGUCAAUUUGAAUCAAACCUAGCUCAAUUCAGCCUAAGAUAACUCCAAUUUGCUUUUUAAUAAAUUUGAAUUGAUUUCCUAAAUGGAGAAACUGCCAAUUCUGGUCUUGAUCUCUCCGAAAUUCGGACUCUACUGUGGCAAAGCUUCUCAGUCGCGUGAUACACUCGUUUUAGAAACGAGGCAGAGUCGCGUUAGCACAGUUCAGCGAGCAGAGGCUGUUUUGGUGUUUAGAGAGGGGCAGAAUGUCGGGAGACUUUAGAAGGCUGGGACGAAGCCUUCGGUUGGCGGAUUCGCACUCCCUCCCUCUGGCUCUCGGUCGCUCGUUCCUAGACCGAGAUCUCUUCUCCCCCUCUUAUCUCUCUGGUUCGCAGAACCCCAGCAAGACCGAACGCACGACUCUCCCCCUCUCGGUUUUCGCAUAGCCUAGAUCGGAAGACCACCGCUCUCUCCUUCUCGCUCUCGCACGGUCGGAGUCAGACCUCCUCCGCCUUGGUUCGCGACAGGUCCGAACGCCCUAGCUUCUCCCCUCUCGGCUUCGCGCGGUCCAGGACCGAACCUGACGAGCCGACUUCCCUCUCUGGCCGUCUUCUCCUCACGCCGAGACAAGAAGCAAAAGUCUCGGCUCCCUUUCGACAUCUCUGGUUCGUGAAGCCCAGGCCAAAACUCUUUCCCAACUCCCUCACUUGAUCGUAAGCUGUAGCCAAAGUCUUUCACUGAUCUUCCCAUUGGUAAGGUUAUCUCUUAUUUCACUGAUUCUUCUUCCUCUUCUAGGUUUCUUUCACCCCUUCUUCCUUCUUUGCAAAACUAAAAAAAAUGAAAAUGAUGAGUGAUGGAUCCAUUUAGUAGAAUCAUUUAUUAAAAAUUUUAUCUCUCUUCGUAACCUAGUUUUGAUUGUUCCUUAGUUCUUCAACAAAUAACUUCAUGAGAAUAGCUUUAUGGAGUGUUGACAAUUUGUGUAUCCAUUCACAUAAGUUUCUGUAUUGAUUUCUGUUGUUGGAAAGUGGAUAUUUGGUAUAUGAAACAUGUAUUUUGUUUAUGAUUGGUAUGUUAAGAUCCAAAGCUUUAUGCAUAGGUUAUGGAAAAGUAGGGAGAAGCCAUAUCAUUCUUUGUUAAAACAAAAAAAAAAUGUAUGCACUCAAAGUGUUUGUAUUUUUGCCUCUUUAAAAAUAGUAAGGAUAUUUGUCCAGGAGAAAACCAUGGGAAGACUCAUUUGGCUUAUGUUUUUUUUUUCCUGAGAAAAUGUUAGAAUGCGGUAUGACAUUCAUGUACUUAUGAUUCUUUUCUUUUAGAUAGCAAUACACUCAAAAAUAUUCCCACGAUUCGCUUUAUGUAAGUCUUGCGAAUUAUUAAAAUUAAAAGAGGUUGAACUUUUACUUCGUUUCAAUGUUUAAUGGUGAUUGUGUGAAUCGUAACCACGCUAAGAAGUUCUUGUAUUCAUUCGUAUCGUAAACGACAUUUAACAAACCUCUCCUUAAAGAUUUCUUUUACUUUUUAUUUCUCUUUCAUGAGUUUAGAAGAGAACGAUACUUAUGAUCAUAAAUUUAUUCUUUUUUUUCCUUGAAAUAAAAUAACAGUAAAUGCAAUGUCUAUUUUAUAUACUUGUAUGUAUUUUCUUGAAUAAAUCAUGUAUGUUUUGAUGCCCAUUAUUUGUUCUUUGAGUUAUAGUUAUGAGGUUAAAAAAAAAAUAGAGAGAGAAGGUAUUUCCUGGUACCUUUAUCAUGAAUUAUGAUUAAUUUUAAAUUAGAUUCAUAUGGCAUCAUUUGUGAUUUAUAUGUGAUCGUGAAAUAUGAACUUUUUAUGUUGAUUCAAUUGAUGAGUCUUGUGGAUAUUGCAUACAAAUUAUUUGAUGAAAUGCUUUUAAGAAAAAAUGUUAUGAUGAAAUGUCUUUUUGUUAUCUCGCCAAAAUCGCAUAGGGAUGCCAAGAGUAUUUUUUUUGUCACCACUAAGAGCACUUGAAAUAUUUUAAACAAGAUAAAUUUUCAUUAAUGCUUGGUAGAUAAUUGAAUGUAAAGUCUAAAUGUGUUAUUGUACAAAGCAGAUUCAUGUUCUUAUUUUCUUGGACCAUGUAUAUUGUUGGGGUCAAAUAGUUGUCAUGGAAUUUGUGCAUAUCUCAUCUAGCUUGUCAAUGCAUGACAUACAAUUAGAGACACACCAAUACAUAUUCCGUGAAAGAUUUUUGGUAAGAAUUAUUGUCUUAUGAUGAAUUAAAAGGGUGUUAGUAAUUCUUUAUGAUGAGAUACAUGUUGUCGAAAUUCUUGGUGGGGUUUGUUUGUUUUAUUUAUGGAUGUUCAAAUGUCUUGUUAUUCGAAACUCCAUGCUCAAGUUUUAUAGGAAAUUUCUUGUACUUUAUUUGGUGUGUAAAGUUAAUUGGAAAAUUUAUCAUGAAAUAGAAUACCAUGAAUUCAUAGUUCAAUUGGAUAUAUGCAUGCUGGAUGGUAUCUUUCUCAAACGCUAUAUUUAUAUGUACAACAAGAGGGUAAAUCUGUGUUAAUUUUCUUUCCUUCCUCUUAUAUUUAACAUGUACAUUAAGAUUUAAAUGAUAAAUGGAAAUUAGUAUUAGACAAAACUCUUAUCGUUAAAAAAAAAAAAUCUUAUGACUUUAUUGUUUAUGGUUGCAAAUCAGACUUGAUAUGAAGUUUAUAUUUCUUACUAAUUAUGUUUUAAAAUUUAUUUUAUGUAUACUUGUAUCUUGAGCAUGAGUGAAUAAGGUUUGAUUGGUAAGGUUUUGUGUCUAAUGUCAUAGCUAGUUUGAAGGAAUGUGAUGUAUACAGAUUGAAAUCCACUUGCAUGAAUAGUGAUCUAAAUGAGAGGUUAAGUUUAUGGAUAUUCCUUCACAUUAUGACAAGUCAUAUGCCGAGCAUAGUGCUCAUCUAAAAAGGAUCAGGCGGUACUUACAUUUAUUGUGUUUUCCCACACUGCUUAGCGUUUUUUUUUUCAUCUCUAUGCAAGAUAGUUUGGUGUUGUAAGUUAAAAUUAGUAUAUGGUAUGUGGUGGAUGGAAAACUUUUUUUUUUACAUUUGCAUUAUAAAUGUUUGUCAUUUAAAAACUGAAAAAAAAAGAGAAACUUAAAUUGCUACUUUGUAUUCAUUUAGUACGUAUAUGAAAGAGAAAUAUGAACUUUUGAAAUUAGAAAUUGUAGAAGUCAUGGAGUGUGGUGGUUCUUGAUUUCUUUAGUUGAAUUUGGGUGCAACAAGCGAGGUAUAUGAUAUUGUCAAAUGUUAUUUCUUUCUUAAAGUUCUUGGGCUAUCAAGUUAUGAUUCUCUAAGUGAAGUAUGAUUAUUUUUUUUCCCAAUAGCAUGAUGGUUUUGCAUCUUUUGUAAGCUGUGGUUGUGAAUUUGAUAUCGGAAAAUAAGCUUGUUGAGUUUGUUGAAAAUUCCACUCCUGCUCUAUGUUAACCUCAAUUUUCAAAGGGUAUACGGUUCUAACGCAAGGUGGCAUGCUCCAUGUUGGAAAGUCCUAUGAAUGGUCUUCUUGUAGGGAAGUUUUAUGCAUUAUCCCUUUUGUUGAAAACUAUUUUAUGAUUCGUUUGGAAGCCCAAGCGAAUUUGAUGCUAGUUUUAUGUAUGAAAUAAAUGAAGUUUCUUAUAGUCUAUUUGAGAUGAAAUUUGGUAAGCUUGGUUUGAAUCAGCACAAUUUUAUAUAAUCUUCUUGUGGGAUGACUUUUAUGUACUAUGUUGCAAGAACCUUUAUAUAUUAUUAUUCAUGAUGUUGAAAAUACUUUUUUUAAGCAUAGGAAAAACAAAUUGCAUCAAACUCCUCUCUUGCCAUUACCUUUUUAGUAGAAAGUGUUGGGUUCUAACAUUGAAUACAUGUGUUGCCUCAUGUUGGAGAAGUUUUAUGUUUUGUUUUAUAUUGAGAAAUUGUAUGAUUUGUUUUAUAUUAAAGAGCUUUAUGAUUUGUUUUAUAUUGAGGAGAUUUGUGAUUUGCUUCAUGAUUGGAAAAAUUUGCAAAUGGCUUUUUAUGUUAAAGUUUUAUGAGUCGUCUUAAAAAAAUAUUAUAAGUUGUUUUAUAUUGAAAGAAUUUCAAGAGUGAUUUCACAUUGGAAAGCAUUGCAAGUUGUUUUAUUGUUGGAGACUUUAUAGAAAGUUUUAAUGAGUUUUGUGAAUUUGCUUUGGUUGGAAGAAGUUUUGAUUUGCUUAUGUUGAGAUGAUUUAUUAGUUGUUUUAAAUUUGUUUUAAAGAGCUUUAUGCGACGAGUUAUAUGAAGGAUUUACAAUGAGGGGUUUUAUAGAACUUUCUCGUUGAAAAGCUUUAUGUUUUCUUCCCCACUCCAAAUAAAAUAAAAGGUACUUGGUUGUUUUGUGUCGGGAAGAGUUUUUGUUGUUCGAUUUGUGCGAGAUUUUCAUGUGUCGUUUCAUUUGAAAUUUUUUAUAAGUUAUUUUGAGAUUCGUAACUUUAUGAUUAGCUUUGAGUUGGAAGACUCGUUGAUGUCUUUUUAGAACGAGGUGGUAUUUCAUAGUGGAGUUGUCUUUCUUCUUGCCUGCACUUAUUUUCUAAGUGGUUUUUUUUAGAUUAGGGGGUAGUAAGAGCAUGCUGUUUUGGGUUUUAAGUGAGAGAUAUAUUUUAGUUGCAUUUUAGGGGUUUGUGUCUCUUUGUCGUUUGGAGCUUUGUUUAGAGGGUAGUUAGGUUGUUUGGGUUGAGUCUUAUUCAAGUGCCUUGUUUGGAAUGUAGGGAUAGUAAAGGGCAUUGAAAAUGUCUUCUUCCUUAUUCGUAUCACAUCGAAUUGGGGGAGAAGGUUAUUUUAGAGGCACACUUGACUUUAAAAGAAGUGUGCCCAAUAACAACAAUGCCUACAUUCCUUUUAUGUUUGAUUUUCAUUCUUUUUCUUUCUACUGCUUUGCUACUUUUUAUUGUACUUUUAUCCAUAGAUCCCUAAGCUAUUGACAUACGUAUAGAAGUCAUAAGGGUUAUAAAACGAGGCAUCCUUUAGUCCUACAACUUUAGUGACAUUUAAGGACAAAAAUUAAAGACCGGGUCUUAGAUAAUAUAGAUUUAGGAUGCAUGCUCCCUAUAGGGUAGAUACAUCAAAACAAAACUUAGUGACACGUUUUCCUAGGUUUAGUUCCCCUUAAUCUACUAAUAAUCAACCAAUGAAAACCAACCCUAAUUCAAUCCUUUAAAAUGCACUAAAACACUUAAUUUUUUUAUUCUAACCAUAAUUAAUAUUUCAUAAUAAUUAAAAAUGCCAAAUCUAAAUCAAGUUCAGACAAUCUAAUAAUAAACCCUUAACCAAUCUAAACUUAAAAGAUGUAGACUUAAGUUAGGGGAUCAAACAUAACGCUAAAAUCUAUUAGGAUAAAAGACUUUUAAAAUAUCAAACCUUAGACUAACCUUUAAAAAUCAAUCAAACAAAUUUGAUUAAUAAAUUGCCUAAUUCGCAUUUCUUUUCUAAUUUAUAACCAACUAAAAUAAUAUAACAAAAUUAAUUAUCACUGGGUAACCCAGAUCUACGAGGCUAUUAAGUUAGCCCCAAUGAGGGUGAAACCUCACGGUCUCGGUGUGAAACAAAGGUGAUAAUUAAUCAAUUACUAAAAUAAAACAUUUAAAAUUAAUCUCAAGAUAUUAAGAUUUGAACUUCAAUUAAAAAUCCCUUUUGCUCCUUUAACAAACAAAAAUACAAGUAACUCUAAUUAAAGUUUCCUACAUAGGACCUAUCCAAAACUACACAGCCUACACACACCUUAGACUUGUUUGGUUAGGACACGACUUCUAACCCUAGGUUAGGCUGACAUUUUUCUUUUGUUAUUCAGUGCUUACUACUUGUAUAUGUUUUAUAAAUGUUAAUAUUAAAUUUCCUGCUAGUUACAUUUCUAUUUAUUUGCAUUUCUUUUAUGAAUGACAUCUACGCUCAUUUGUAUAUUUUUCUUUCAUUUUUCUUGCGAGGUACAUUAGAGUAAUUUGCUAGCUUGAAGCUUUUAAGUGGCUGCGCCACAUGCUUUGGAUGGUCAAGAAUGACUUGCUUACUCAGAGCUUUUAAGUGACAGCGCCACAGUCAUGUAUAAUCUCUACAAAUUGUAAAGCAAAUUCUUUUAAUUAGAUAUCGAAAUUGCUACACAUCACACACGACUUGUUAAUAGGUAUUUUAGCAUGUUUAGAUAGCUGGCCUUAUGGUAGUUCACUAACGAAGCUUUGGCCCUAUAGGUCAAAGAUUGCCCCCUUCUGUGAGCCUUAGAGACCAUUAGGGUCAUUUAGGCCUGUAGAGUAGGCCACCCAGUUGUGCUAUUGGGCAUCAUUGUUUUCCCACACGAAGUGGGCAUCGCUAGGAUUUUGGCAUUUUUCUGGUUUUGGGUAUGAUACCCCCCUUUUCUGUGAGCCUUAGAGACCAUUAGGGUCAUUUAGGCCUGUAGAGUAGGCCACCCAUUAUGCCAUUGGCAUCGCUGUUUUCCCACACGAAGUGGGCAUUGCUAGGAUGAUUUUCUGUGCGGGUAUCUUGCCUGAAGGGUACCCUUAGUGUGUUUAUUUACUUUUUCUGUACUCUGAAUGUCAUGUAUGUAUUUGUUUUUACACACUUUGUUUCACAGUGCACUUUACUUCCAUUUAUGCAUUGCAUCAGUAGACCUAAGAAUAUUUUUAUAAUGCAUAUGUUUCAUGCAUCAUAUGUGGCAAUAAGUCUAUUCUUUUACAUAUUACAGAGUCUCUAAUUUAAAUCCUUGAUUCCUUAGGAUAGAACCUUCCCAUCUUGCAUACAUAUAGGACGAUUGGUUGUGCUUAGUAUUUUAGCUGGCUUCCUUUUUUUCAGGCAAGGAAUAAGUCCAGGAUUGCACUAGUUAGGUCGUAGAUGUUAGUAUCGUAUGUACGAUAUUACAUCUCUUAUAGAUUUAGGAUCUAAGGUGAGUGGUACGAGUGUACCUCUAUACGCCUUAUUGGUGGGCAAGCUCUCAAUUCUUUCGGAAGCCAUAAAUCCUACCCAUCCGCGUCACACAGAUGACGUCACCUCCCUCUUUCUCUCGUGUUUGCUUGAGAUGCGUUGCCGCUUUCUUUUCUCCAGUUUUCCCUUCUUCAGACCGGCCGAAUGUUGAGGGAACCACGCGUGAUUGAUUGAACCAAUUUGGGACCUUCCUCUUUGAUUAGGAAAGCCUAGAAUUUUCCCUUUGCAUUAAACCCAUUAGAGAAGAUAAUCUAACGUCCUUAAUCGAGAGUCUUCUUAGACCAAGGUCUAAGAUGUAAUUAACUACGUGGGCUUGCGUCCUUAGGAAACCGAUCACCACAAACAAAUAAACUCCAUUCGAGCUGAUGUAUCGAAUGAGGAAAAUCUCGUGAAUUUUGGGUUAUAUAUAUUAUUAUCCAUCGAGGUGUGUAGGUGAAAGCCGCUAUCCUCUAUGGCUAAUCGUAUGUAUAACUCCAUCUGCUCUUCCAUCGGGCUGCUUGUGUCGAUUGUAAAGGUCUACGACCAUUUUGUCCUAUGGGAUAGUGUGAUCGUACCCUUUGCAUUCGAACCACACGAGCAGAAUCCUUUCAGAGACCCACAACAUUCUUCUCAAUGUCUCCAGCUUCCCUUAUUAUCGGCAGUGUAAGCAACCACUUAAACAAUUCUGAAACACUUAAGCUGUGUUUGUAUGGUGGGAAUUUGAGUGAAAUAAAAUGAAUUUAAUUUAAUUUCCUUUUGUUUUCUUCAAUCUAAACAAAUAUUUUAAAAAACUAUUUAGCAUUAGUUGAUUUAACUAAAUUUACUAAAAAUGCAUGCUCCAUUGGUGGAGAUUAUGUGAACUUGGGUAUCAGCAUAUCAAAUUCUUCAUCAUCACCAUCUUCGUCCACAAAUCUUGAUGAUUAUUCAUUUGGUGAGGUGAUGCAAGUGGCUUAAUCAUCUAAUAUUAUUUUUCUUCUCUUUAAUUCUAAUAAUUUUAUACUGAUCUAAUUGGCAUUUUCAUGCUAAUUACUUAUAGAACUCCCUGCUCUGAAUAGUUUCAUGUGGUUGUUCAUGUUGCUUACUUCUCUUGUAAUGAUCUGACUUAAGAAUAAGGUAGCUGUGAUAGAUCAAAACUUUCUUUGAUUGAGAUUACUUAGUUAUGUUCGAGUUUUAGUACUAUACAAGUUAUUCAUGUGCAAAGACGAGGGUUUUAUGUUGCUAGAUUUUACGGAUCAUAUUAUCUCAUGUUCUUUAUAAUGUUGUCAAUAAUUUUUUAUUUCAUGUAGAAAAUGUAUGGAGGAAAGAAUAUUGAUGGUUUUUCAAAGCUCUUUCCUUCUGUACGGCUUGUUUUUGAAGAACAUAAUUAUAUUUUGUGAUUAACUAUAUCAUCCUGAUUGAAAUUUUGAGGCUAUUGUUUCUUGGUUUUUCUAGAAGACAUUUUAAGCAGGUUACACAGUUCUUAAAUAGCAUCCCUGUGUCUUUGAUCACAAAAGUUUUUUUCUUUUCCCGAAUUAAUUGACUGAAAAUGAUGAUUGUUGUUGUUUUAUCAUAAAAUAAAGCUUGUGAAUCAUGCACUGUAAAUUAUUUAACUAUUUUUCUUCCAGUUUAUUUAUUUUUUGUAGCUAUCCGAUGAAGAUCCAAAUUUUUAAUAUCUGGCCCAGUUGAUUCUCAAAAUUUCUGAAUAUUUUCAUAAAAAAUCGGCACGAUAUCUGUCAUUUUGCAUGCGUUUGAAUAUUUUCAUAAAAACCACGAUAAUGUUUUGAUUCCUGCACUUACAAAUAGUUCCAAAAGAGAUAAAUUUUGUGAAGGCAGGGGAAUAUUAAGGUGCCUGUUGACCUCGAUUUUCGUUCGAGUGCCCUCAAAGGCAUUCGAUCACUUUGAUUCAACCUCGUAGAGCCAGAUUUGAAUUCGAUUCGAUCCGAAUCGAGUCAAAUUAGACUCAAUCAUGUUCAAUCACGCCUGGAUAGUCCGCUUCGACCGCGACGAGUUUAAUUUGACCCAAAUCUAUCUCAAUUUGAGUUUAAUUUUAUUUAAUUGAAUUGAUUGAGCCUAAUCCCAAUUCUAAAUCAAGCCAAUUCGAAUCAAAUUCAUAUCCAAACCCAACUCAAAUCAGCCUAGAUCAAUUCUAAUUAAAUUCCAAGUCUUUUUUUAAUCAAUUUGAAUAGCUUAUCAAAUCGGGAAAUAGAUCGAACGGUCUGAGUCAAUUGACCGUUUAUUCGAGGCUUUGGCGUGAUAUAUGGCUAUCUGCGAUCGUCAGAGAUAUGAAGCAAAAAAAAAAAAAAAAAAAAUCCUCGUGAGACCGGAUGGGCACCCCCUCCUCUCGGGCGGUUCCUUCUUGAUUCGCUCCUUCUCCCUCUCUUUCUCGAUUUCGCACAGCCUCCCUCUCUCGUGCUUCUCUAUUCACCUCCUCGAUCGCAAGGAGAACGAAGGCCCUCCCGUGCUCCCUUCGGUCGGAACCCAAGAGCCGAAGCUCUUGCUCCCUCUCCCUCUCUCGCGUGAGCCAGGGGAGAUCGGACCCGAGCCCGCUGCCCCGUCUGACGGAAGCUCCGCCGAACCCAACGCCUGGAUCGACUCCUCCUCCUUGCAAGGUGAGUAAUUUCUUCCCCUUCUCCUCAUCUCCAUGCUUCCAUUUCUUCUUCUCAGCCUUUUUCUUCCUCUUCUUGGCUUCUUCUUCAUUUCUUGAUUUCUCAUCCAGAUUUCUUCUUCUCCUUUCUUUCUUCUUUUCCUUCUCUCUUUUCCCAUUGCUCUUUCUCACUGUCCAAGUUAAAUGGAUUUGAUAGGAAGUUCAUCUUGUUUAGAUGAUGGUGAUAUGUGUAGAUUUACUUAGAACAAAACUUAUUUUAGAAUGGUUAAUUGUUUAAGUCAUAUGAUUUCCUAUGAUUUCUUUCAUCCUUGUUGCUUGUAAGGAUUUUAUUGCACUUUAUAAUUGCUGGAUGUGCUAUGUUGAGUUAUGUUGCUUGAAAACGAGUAGCUAAUGUGUGGAAUUUGUACUUAAUUCAUGUUAUAUCUUUUAGAAGUUUUAGGCGUGAGCUUUGAAGGCUUAUAAGGGUAUCAUGUCAUCUCUUCAUCAAACUAUGCAUAUGAGGUGUUUGAUGAAAUGCCCUUUAAGAAAGAUUUGGAUAUUUGGUUAAUGACUCAUGAAGCUUUGAGCCAUGUUGUUCCCUUAGAUAUUCAUGCUUGUGAAAUCCAUCCCAAAAUCUCCUUAUUGUAGUGUUUAAGAGUUUUCUUUUUAACUAGUAGUAUUGGUAGUGAGUUUUGAUGAAUUUCAAGUAACUUUUGUGGUUGUUAUGUUAUUUGGAGAAAUCUACAUGACAUUCUCUCAUUUUCCUAUAAAUACUCAUGUGUUGCAAGAAGAGAAAAGAGGUCUUGACCCCUUUCGUUGUGAGAUGAGUUUAGGGAAUAUUGGAGAAGUUGUUUGUUGAAUGUGCAUCUAAACAUAGUGAUGUAUUCUUGUGUGAAAUGCCUUUUACAAACAUGUGGUUUGUUCUCAAAAAAGUGUAGUUCUAUACCAUGUGUAGCUAGAUCAAGGUGCUUCAUGGUGUAUAUUUGUGUUAGUACUCACAUAUGACUUGAUGUAUUUAGUGAAUGUCAUUUAGCUAAACAAUCACACUCUCUUAUGAUUCAUGAUUAGUUGAUGGGAUUUUAGGCGAUUCGAUGAUUAAGUUGCUUCAUUACUAUUGCUCUCUUUUUAUAUUUUCCUACAAGUAAAGUGAUUAUUUGGUGCAUAUCAAUGGUGCCAUAUUGAAUGGUAUUCUCCUUAUUUGUCAUGUCAAUGUGUAGGAAGAUGAAGGGUAUGCCAAGUAUCAAAUAUGCUAAAUAAUCUCUUGUAGCAUGUAUGAUCACCAUAGGUUCCAUAUGUUUUUGUACUUGGGUUAAAGUGCUCAAAUCAUAUUUUAGAAAAAUAUGAUCAUGCGAUAUCACUUGUUUGAAAAGGUCGUCUUAUUGGCAUAAAUAAGUUUCAUAUAGCAUAUGUUGGAAGACCUCCUUGAGUUUCUUUUGGGUGGAUCUCUCAUUGCUUCUUUGUGAAAAUUGCUACUGUUUUUAUAAUCUUUUCCCACUAUUUUUGUAAGAAACAAGUGCAGAUUUUGGAGGUUUUACCGCUGUUUUUGCAUAAGAAUCCUCACCGCAUUCAAAUGGAUCUUGCAUUACUUCUUGGUAGGGAUUCCUACAGUUUUUAUAAACUUUUCUCACUGUUUUUUGUAAGAAACAAGUGCAGAUUUUGGAGGUUUUAUCGCUGUUUUUGCAUAAGGAUCUUUAUGGCAUUUGGGUAGGCCUUUCAUAGCUCUUAUGUAAGAAUCCCUACAUCUUUUAUAUAGUUUUAUGGUUGAUUUUUGUGGAGGGUUAGUGCAGAUUUUAUUGUAAGGUUUUUGUAAAGAUUGACACAUGUCUCCUUUGGAUAUCGCUCUUGUUUUAUGUUGCAAAAUCAUAUGCUUAACAUACAAACGCAUGAUUUCACUUGCCGAUAGGAGAUACUUAUGCAUUCUUUUAUAUUCUAAUAUCAAAUAUAAAUGCAAUUCUCUUUCAGAUAUUUUUUUGGUCAUAUACAACAUGAAAAUGAAAUUUUGUUGGAAAGUAAUGAUGUGCCUUAUGCUUCAAGUAGGGGUUUCUCCACCGAAUCGAUGCAAGUGUGUAUUUUUAUGCAGUUGUGAGUUUGACAUGCCUUCUAGAAGUAGAAAAGGGAUGAGUUGGCAUCAAAUUUAUAUCUAAUAGUUAUAUUUUGGUUGAGCUUCAAAAUUAGAUAAUCAAUUUGGUCGCCUGUCAUAUAACUACAACCCUCAAUAUCACAUAGGCUUGGUUUCACUAUGAUAAUCUUGGUGGAGACAUAAAAAGUAAUUUGAUACAUGCUUAGUUAGUGCAUUUGUAGGUUCCAAACACAUCUUUUCUGUAUUUCAUUAACUAUAAAUUGAUUAGGAUGAGUUUGAGAGUUUUUACCAGAUUUAUUAUGUGCAUUCGUGAUUCUUUUUAGAUGAAGGUUUAUAUAAAUGUAGCGUUUCAUAUGAUUGUUUGAAAGGAAGAUAACAUGAUGAAAGAUCAAAUUAGUUGGGUUAUUGUUGAUGAAUAAAUUUUGGAAAGCAUUUAUUUGGCUCGUACGUUAAAAGAAAGAGGGCUUUGUGAAUUGAUUCAUGUUGAAAGAGUGUUAUGAUUUGCUUUAUAUUAUGAAAUUGGAUUUCUUAUAAUUUGCUCUCAUUGUUACUUUAUGAGUACUUACAUUUGUUGAAAAGAUUUGGGAAGGUUUUGCGAAUGUUUAAAAUGAAAGCUUUUAUGUGUUUUUUUUUUCUUUUCUUUUCUUUUUGAAGAUUUUGAUUUCUAUACCCCACUCCAAAUAAAAAAAGAGGCACUUGAUUGUUGGUCAUUUUUGUAGUGUUUUGGGUCAAAAAAAGAAGAAGAGAUUUUGGUAGAUAAUUUUUGUAAGGUUUUGUGUGGCAUUUAAUUUAGAAGUUCUUACAAGUCAUUUUGAGAUUUAUAAUUAGGCUUGUGUAGUAGGGUCCUUUAGUGUCUUUUGGAAACAAUUGGUGCUUUCUCAUUUGAGUUAGACUCUCUUAGUGUUUAUUUCUAAAAGAUGAGUUUUGAGAUUUGAGACUUUAAGUAGUUUUGUGUUGGAAGGCUUUUAGUGUCUUUUUGGAGCAAGGUAGUCCUUACUUAUUUGAGUUAUCUUUCUUUAAUAUUAGCUUCUAAAAAAAAUAUAGAAUUUUGGAUAAAUAUAAAACAAAAGAAAAUCUUAUUUUAAGUUUAUUUUUAGGAAUUUGUUUCCCUUAGUUGCUUUAGGCUUUAUUUAGAGUGUGUUGUAGGUAGAUGUUUCAAAUGUAUCAAAUGCUUUAUUUGAAUUUUGGGGGCAACAAAGGGCAUUGUAAAUGUUGCUUUAGGGUACACUUGACUUCAAAGAAGUGUGCCCAAUAACAAUAAUGCCUACAUCCUUUUUGUAUUUGAUUUACAUUAUUUUUUUUCUUUUCAUUGCAUCUAAUUUUCUUUUGCUUUGCUUUUAUUUUUCUUUGUCGUUUCUUUCAUGUUUUGAUACUAAACACUUGCAAAAUGAGGAGAAUCCAAAACACAAAUGGCUCAACCGGUAUACAGAAAUAUACGUUCUUUAGUUUUAUAACAUUUUCAUUUAUUUAUGUCUUUAGUUACUCAGUAUAAAGAACAUGCUCUUACACCAUUCUUUUGUGUUUUACGAUUACCUUUUGGAAAGCAAUGGAUAAGGAACACUGGAGCACUUAGAGAAGGAGCAAGGACAACCAGAUCCGAGCAUCAAUCGCCCCUAUUCAUUCCGGUAGGGGUGUUACGGGCGUAACCACUGGGUCGUAGCCCCCGGUGCUGAAGAAGAUGCUUUCUACUACAUGUCCUUAUUUUCCUUAAAGUUUAACAGCCAUGUGCAACAUAUUCAUUCUCUGAUCGGUAUCAUGGUAUGAUGGCAACCUACGUGCCUCAGGCUUUGGUAAAUGGUAUUUGGCAAUCAGCCUUCCUUCAAAUUUGUUAUUAAUUAAAAUAAUGUAGCUGUUUGGAUCACAUAAUACUCAUAUUAGUUCAUAAAUCAUAUUCCAGCCCACUUCUUCUAUUGCUAAUAAACAGAUGCAUUCCAUCACGUGCAUCCUCAGUUUCUUGGAAUGCCACAUGCUCGAAUGCCUUUACCCUUCGAAAUUGCAGAGGAUCUUGUUUAUGUAAAUGCAAAGCAGUACCAUGGAAUUUUUAAGGAUAAGCAGUCACGUUCCAAGGAAAAACUUGAAAAGAAGACUAUAAAGUCAAGAAAGGUACCUUUCAAAUCGUUAACUUUGAAUUCUUCAACUUCUUCCCAAAUUAAUUUCACUUGCCUACGCCAAUUGUCACACGCACUUAACCCCGAGUUAGGAAUUCUUCCAAUGAUUCUUCAGAUAUUGCGAUGGUACCGGAGCAGCUUGGAUGGCCUGCUAAUCUAAGGGAAAUCUCUACGCGUGUGCAUCAUCAUCGCAACAAAACAGGUGCGUGGAUCUGCUUAAGGAUGGAACCAAGUCAAAUAUGAGCCCCUACCUCCUUAUUUCUUUGCUUAUCUUCUCUGAAACAGGUUUUCCACUGCUCAGCAUAAAUACGUGAGUGCUGUAGUGAUACUUAACCCAAAAUUAAUCAUAUUUCUAACUUGUUAGUAUAAGGGCCUAUUUGGUUGCGGUUUUAUGGCAUGAUUGAAAAUGCUAUUUGGUGGUAGAUUUUUAGCAGGAUUAAAUCUAUAUUUAUAUAAAAUCCUGCCAAGCUGUUUUUGUUGGGAUUUUAAUUGAAUCGAAGAAUUAUUAAUUUUAGGGGAAGAUUGGAUUUCAUUGAUUUAGGUGUUGUUUGAUAGCAACAUUUCACAUGAUUUAACCACAAUUAAUAUAAAAUGUUAUAACCAUAAAUUGUUACUCAUUGUAGACUUAUUUGUUGCGGCCUUUUCCUUCAUCUUCUUCUGCUUGUUUGAUUUUAAAAAAGGUAAACUUAUUACGGAAAAAAAUUUAGCCUCUGGUUAUUCCUACAUUUAUUGUUCUAUUGUAUUUCUUAUUAAUCUUGUUGAAAUUCUUUAAAUUUUUUUAUCCUAGUCAUAAAUUUACUGUGAAGAUGGACAUAAAUCGUUCUCCUCUUGAUGUCAGUGUCUUAAUGAAUCAGGACAUUGUUCUCAGGCUUAGGAAAGUUGAAUGUGGAGAAAUUGAGCUACAAUUGCGUUUAGUUGAGCUUCCAAUCUACAAAAGCUCACACCUAUACCUAAGUGCAUAUUGUUUGAUUAUUUUGCAGAUCCUUUUGAUGGACUAAUCAUGCAUUAAUAUAUAUAUAUAUUUUAAUGAUGCAUAUGUUGAACCAGAUAUUUUUAUCUUUCUUUCGAGAACUCGGUUGUAGUUAUCUUCAAUAAUAGUUACGUUUAUGUUUGAUUUGGGACAUCUUCUUUAUUGCUUAUUAAAUUAUCUUUUU